CGGGGAGAACAUGCAGACUCCACACAGAAAGGCCACUGGGCGGAAUCGAACCCAGGACCUUCUUGCUGUGAGGCGACAGUGCUAACCACCACGCCACCGUGCCGCCCCUAAGUUAAUUCAAUAUAUUACUUAUUUAUAUAUUAGUAAGCAAGAUCUUUCCAGGAGAACUUGCCAGACUGCCAUCCAAUUUGAAAUAGAUAUUGAUUAUCACGAGAGAAUCAUUUCUAAUCAUCAUGUCCCUAAGGCCAACAUUUCCAUUUGAUCAGGACUAAAGCAUCAUCAACGAUUUAGAUGAUAUUUGGAUUUGUUCAUGAGUUUAUUAUUGAUAAGUAUUGAGAGUCUAAUUCUAAUGUAUUAUCUGCUUAUACAGCAGCCUUUAAUUAUGAGAGUCAACAAUAGGAAUUAUAGUUUUUGAUAAAUACAUUAACAAACUAUAUCUGCUUACUACUCAAUUAUGUUGUUAUCAUGCCGUGUUAUAAACAAGUUAUUUAAUAGUUGUAUACCACUAAUAAGGCUUACCAUUACUGAGGAAAAUCAGCAUUUGCGGUUCUAGAUUCAAGGAGACCCCAUAACUGUGAAGAACCACUUGUAUUUGUGCUCUAGGGGGCCACGAGUUUUGUUGCACAAUUUUUCUACUUCUACAAUCCCUCCGGACGCAAAGAGCAGAUGAAUCAGAUACCAUGGAUGCUCCAUCUGCCAUUGCUUUCCCAUCCUCAUCACACUCAAGCCUGAUAUAUCUGGGAAUAUCCAAAAGGAAAUAUCACAUUAUUAUAACUCCAAUUAACUAAAGACACGACUGCAAACAUUUCGUUUAAAAGGGAUUAAGGCCUCCAGACUGAGCACGCAGAGGCCUCGAGAAGCACGACUUAAAACAAAUCAACUUUUGUAUGUUGCUUCACUAACACUCCUGGCAUGGAUUCGCCCGGUAGUACCAACAUGAAAACACGAGUCGGGUUAAAAAAACGGUAUUGCUCAAAUUAACAAGUAGAAGCCAAUAAAGCAGCCUUAGUGAAGCAUCAAUGUAGGUUAUCAAAGCAGCAGCAGGGAUCAUAAAGCAGCAGGCGGUCUGCGCAGAUAGAAGACAUUAGACAAAGGCUCUCAGUCACUGCUGCACCAGAAAAUCAAUAUGUUGCUGUUAGUCACCACUGUUCUCUCUGUUUAGCGCCUGUAGAUCACAUGGAAACCCCAUUAUCUUACAAUUCUCCUCACCGGCACACAAACAGAAUGAGGUGUCUUGACGGCGACUGGCCAGACACUUAAAAUCGGUAUAGAUGAGCAGGUCUGCCUCUGUUGAUUUUUAUUUAUAUAAGUGUUUUUGGUAGUAGUGAGAGGGAGCAUGUGUCAUACUCAGGCCGAAUAGUGUGCAGUCUGGUGACACACUAAUUAGCGAUGAUGGAGGUGAAAUGCUAGCUGCGUUAGCGUACGUAUAGGUGUCUGUGGGCGAUGCACAGUUUGAGGGAGCAGUCUGGCAGCUGCUUUGCCUCGAGCUUUAAGCUAAUUUAAGAAAAGAAUGGCUCACUAGUUAAAAUAGGGAGGGCAGCUUUGCCGUGUUGACUUGAUGGCCCGGUCUCAAUUACACCCAAAAAUGUGAAUAAUAAUGCUCAUGAUACUCUUUUUUUUUAUAUCUAGGAUGAAUUAAAUGAAGGAAACCGAAAAGGCGAUGAAAAAAUAAUACAUAAAAGCAUAUCUAGAGGGGCGUAAUUUAAAAGGAGAUUUACUGGAUAACAUUGAAAUAACUAGCUCACGUUCCUCAGGCGGGCACGUUCAAUGCUAACCCCCCCUAGCAAAACGGCAAUCCGCUUUAUUCUUGACUCAAGAGUGAGAAGGAGUGAACAGAGCCCGAGGAUCCAGACUCCAAAAGUCUGAAUGUGGCCAGAGGCCAGACGUCGCUUUAGCCUACUUUAAAUGAUCAUCGAGAAGAGAUGACUGCGAGCCAGCGCUCAACAACAUCGCACAAGUUUACGUCACGCUUUAGCCGCCAGCUCGCAGAUGCACCGGUGCAUCGAUUGACGAUACUUUUCAAAAAGGUAUCACAUUUGUCUGAUGGCUCCCAAGUAAUAGACUGUCAAUGUGUGUCUCGUGUUCUUGAUGGGGAUGUGUCAUGGACAUUUGGCUGGCAAUGCGUGAGUCUGACUAAUUCAUUACCGGCUGUGACAGACACAUCCAACUGACAAGCAAAUUCUUCUCCCUUUAUGUGGAGAACGUCUUCAUAGGGCUCGUGGUGAGUUAGUGAAAUAAUACGGCACAAAAGCAUUUGAGAUAGGCUACUUUGCAAAUCAAUACUAUUAUUAUAAUAACAUAAUGCCUUGGGAGAAAUAUUCCACACUCACUGUGCAGAAAAGGCCUACACUGUAAAUGCACAUAUGCUACUAUGUGUGUGUAGACUGUAAGAAUCAGAUCAGAUCAGACUUGGACCAACCUAACCAACCUCAUAGAACAAAUCCAGGGUUUUGCCAAAUGCAUUUUAACUGAAAGUAUUCUGUAAAAUCGUAGCUUUAUUUCAGCAUCAUCAACUUUACAUCAACAUAUCGUGUAUGUACUUAUUUUCCUCUGGAUUAAUAGCAACAAAUCAAACAUCUGCUUUUUUUUUCACUGUUACGGUUCAUUCAAUGACUUUUACCAGUUGCCAAAAGACAGUUCUCAUGCAACUCCAUGUUAUACCCACACGGCAAGUGAAACGAGUGAGAGGUCAAAAGGAGAAAGGAGAAGAGCCUGUCAUAAAGGAAGCGAGGGGGAGUAGAGACUGGAGACUGUCAGGAUCUCUGAUCCCCCCCGAGUUACAGAAUGUUUUUACCACUGCAUGCAUCUCACAAGACCAAUGCUAGAAGAGAUAGAGGGAGGCGCUCGGGUGGUAACAGAGGCACAGGUAACAGAGGUGGUAACAGAGGUGGUAACAGAGGCACGGGUAACAGAGGUGGUAACAGAGGCACAGGUAACAGAGGCACAGGUAACAGAGGUGGUAACAGAGGCAGAGGUAACAGAGCUGGUAACAGAGGCACAGGUAUCAGAGGUGGUAAGAGGCAAAGGUAACAGAGGUGGUAACAGAGGCAGGUGCAGGCAGCAAGGGUGACAUGCGUGGUAAAGUGGUUUGGAGAAUGUCAAGUUAAAGCUCGUCAUCCUGUAAUCCCCUUUCUUAAAGCUGCACCACACUGAUAGUUUGUGAAGAUGAUACAGACUUACAGCAUAUGCAGAGGACUUUAAACAGAGUAUUUUACGAUGUUUCCAUCAGUUACCUCAUUCCUAAAAUGACAUAAUGCAAGAAUAUUACAUUAUAAAAUGAAGCAUUCACAGCAAUAUUGACAUCUAGCCUUUUUCGGGGCCCCAAAAAGUUUUUGCUUGUCAUGUCGGGGUUUAGAUCAACGCUCGGCUGCUUUGUUCUACAGUUGGGAUGUUAUGUACAAAAUCGGGUUGCAACCAGAUCUGUUCCUGAAGCUGAAAAUCAACACUGACAGACAUUGUUUUGUUUCAAAUCAAAUGUGCAGGAAUGGAAUCAAAUCAAAGUCACAGGCUGACAGUUAAAUACUACACACAAGACAUUUACACAAUAAUAUGUAUUAUACAGUCAGGCUGGAGGGUGGUGGAGGCAGGUGCGGGCAGUUACAGUCUCCGUAACCGUGUGGGCAGAUACAUAAGGACUGUGCUGGAGAAGUGGUGUGAGAUUUAAGAUGAAGUAGCACGAGUUGCCACAGAAAGGUGGGAACAUUGACUUAUAUUAGUGACAAAAAGUGAUAUGUAGAUGGGAUGAGACAAAGAUUCUGCAGUGCACCUACAGAUGUAACGUUAUCUGUUAAGGUUCAUGGACAAUGGCAGGUGGGAAUGAAGGGGAGAUACCUGGACAAGUGAAACUAAGGCAUUUAUCAUUUGAGGUGAGAAAAAUGUGAGGUUGAGCAAACGUCUGAAUAUACAGUCUUUAUGAAUCAGAACGAUUGAAGUUUAUUAUGGAGAGAUUUUUUUAACCUACUCGGUUUACCUGGUAAUAGCUAUUCAAAGCUACAGCCUCCUUUCCUUGACACAAGAACAUGAGUUUGACUUUGUUUGAAGUGGCAAAGAUACCAAACAUAUUCAAUUUAAUUAAAAACGAAAAUUUACACAGAAUUAUUUGCUAUAUUUAGGCCUUUGAACUUUUCCGACCAUGACAACAAAUAUGAGAUGGAUCCCCACUAUUACACACAGUCCUAGCGUUGUUACACAAACAGCUGUAUAUUUCAAAUGCAUUUCAUUUUGAUUAAAAUAAUAAUUUCAAUAAAAUGUUGUUUAACAACAUUUUCACUCAAUUUAUAAUUAAAUAAAAUGAAUAACAAUCGUUUGGCUACUAUGAUCAUUAUGCUAUUCAAACCAUUAUCAACAAAGCUUUUCAUAAUAAACAGUAAGUUCGUACCAUAGAGCCCUCCAUAUCAGACUACAUUGUAUAUGAUGACUCUUUAACAUCGGAGAUGCAACUCAUUAUGUGUUGAACAGAUAUACAGAUGAACAACUUCAGGGAGGCCGCAUAUUUUAUAUUGAAUAAUGUAGAAUAUUGAAAGAGCCUUGCUGAUAUAUGCCUUUGUUCAAAUAUGAUGUCAUUAUAAGAAGAAACUUUGAACAAUGAUGAAUAAAAUAGGAAUAGCCGAUUCACAUAAUCACAUAUAUUUUGGACACUUUGUAGAUUUGUACCUAAGUGCUAUAGUUAUACACUGUAGUACAGAUGUUUUCUGAAUAUCGGAAAAAUAUAUAUAUUUCAGAAACGAUGGGACAACGUGCAUCGUUUCUCCUCUUUGGCAAGACAGAUAAAGCCCAUUUUUAAAGUGUUCAUGUGUGGAGUUUCUCUGCAAUAGCCAUUCAAUGUAGCGUUAAACUGCACUCACUGUUACUGUGGUAACCGCAGGCAUUGACAGAUCAAUUGAAUCUAUAAUCUUAAUGAUGGCAAAUUGAAGUGUUGUUGGUUCAUGACCAUAUCUUAACCAUAGUUGCUUCAAUCAAAGUCUUGAUUAGUAUUAUUAUAUUUUUCUGUCAUUAACCAGGCUCAACCAGCAGGUUGCCAACAAAACACUCCCAGAAGGUACUUCAUAGACAUUCCUGACAAUGUCUGAAAAUAUGCAAGAUGUUUGCUAAAUUUAAGGCAAGAGGAUUUACAGUACUAUUGUAGAUGCAACAUAAUCAUGUGUUAUUACGCAAAUUAAUAAAUACAGAGGGGCAAUCAAUUAUAAUUUCAUAGUUUAUCUACAGAGAUAAUACAGGCUGCUCUAACAUCAUGUAUGUGGGGGCAUCGUACAGGUGGCAUAAGGAAUCUAGAUGCACGGCAUAGGGGAAACAUUGCAAAUUUUGAAACAGAGGAUCAAUCACAAAUUGGAAGCCUAAAGAAAACGUUGGUGGAACAUAAGCCUGCUUCAUCGUCUCUGACUGGGAGAAUGUUGACUCAGGAUCAUCAUUCCUUUGAGUAAAUACAUACAGUUUACUUUGGCACGCUAUUCAAGCUGCCAACAAGGCUGGCUAAAUGUAAACGUUGCCUUGUGAGGACUGUCACGUUCAGUGUGCCUCUACUGUUGGGCUAGCUGCGUUGAUGAUGCGUUGGAUUAAGGCGCCGAGACUCGCCGUAUGCAAGAUGCUUUCUGCUGAAAUAAUUAUUAAGCCCAAAAGAGUUAAAAGGUUUCCUCCAUUCCAAAGAUACUGAGACUUUAUAGCUCGCUAAAUUCUGACAACGUGAGAUUUCUCCCAUAGUCUUUGCAUAAUAAUUGAUCUUUUGAAUUCUGUUCAUUAACGGAAUAAUCCAUACAUGUUUGUAUUUGACAGGGAACAUACAAUGUGCUUGGUCAAAUAUUUCAACAAUAAGUAGAUAACAACAUAUUAUUAUAAUAAUUUGUUUUAAUAAGCUGAUAACAAAACCCCAAAGUAAAAUUAGACAUCAUGCCUCAUUUAGCCUGACAGCCAAAUAUAAAACGUCAAAUGAAGGAGUGCCAAUUAAUUGACAGAAUGCUACCUGCUAGUCCUCAGAGGUCAGCGCUUUUUAAACAUGGACUCUUCUUUUUUUAGAGGAAUGGAGCAUUGAGUUGUUUAAGGUAGGGCACCUGCAUGCCAUCGGCUGAUCAGUAUCAACUGACUCCUACAAUCACCUUUUAGAGAAAAACAAGGCAAUUAGGUGGUCCCGAUAAUCCGACAAGCACUCUCGCCCCCGUGAUUAUUCAUGUCACUUCUUCCGGUACAGGGUCGUAGCCUGCACGUACGCUCCGAUGCUGCUUGGUCAUCUGUUAAGCACCCUGAAAUGCAGUGCAUUUUAUCUGCAUAUCAUCUAUUUGCAACAAAAUCGCACUGAAUCCUUUGAUGUAUGUAAGUGUCUGACUGAACUGCCUGACUUUUUGCAGGAGCGCUGAACAAAGCAGCGGUUUUAGCACUCCACAACCUGCUACAGCCUGCAGACCUCACUAAAACUGAUCUUCGUGUUCAUCAAGUUCAACUGGUCGGAUGGGGUGUUGGAUAAUUGAAAGUACGCUACGAUAAAUGUUUAAUACUGUAUUGAAACAAGCCUACACAACCAACGGCUAUUAUUCAUGGGAAAACAGCCAGAUACAACAAAAAUAAAACAAAUGACUUUUUCAUAAUAAAGCCUGACAUUUUUUUAAAUUGAAAAAAGAAUUGCAUUGAAAAAAGGAAAUGACUAGAAUGAAUUUUAAUUUGGGAUUUGAUUCAUUCUUCCAUUUUUUCCAUUCUUUCCUAAUAUAAUAGUUUGUAACACAUUGUAUGCUUAAUUACAAUACAUAUAUAUAUAUAUAUAUAUAUAUAUAUAU
ensembl:lncRNA